UAGAGUUUGAUCCUGGCUCAGAACGAACGCUGGCGGCAGGCUUAACACAUGCAAGUCGAGCGCCCCGCAAGGGGAGCGGCAGACGGGUGAGUAACGCGUGGGAAUCUACCCUUUUCUACGGAAUAACGCAGGGAAACUUGUGCUAAUACCGUAUGAGCCCUUCGGGGGAAAGAUUUAUCGGGAAAGGAUGAGCCCGCGUUGGAUUAGCUAGUUGGUGGGGUAAAGGCCUACCAAGGCGACGAUCCAUAGCUGGUCUGAGAGGAUGAUCAGCCACAUUGGGACUGAGACACGGCCCAAACUCCUACGGGAGGCAGCAGUGGGGAAUAUUGGACAAUGGGCGCAAGCCUGAUCCAGCCAUGCCGCGUGAGUGAUGAAGGCCCUAGGGUUGUAAAGCUCUUUCACCGGUGAAGAUAAUGACGGUAACCGGAGAAGAAGCCCCGGCUAACUUCGUGCCAGCAGCCGCGGUAAUACGAAGGGGGCUAGCGUUGUUCGGAAUUACUGGGCGUAAAGCGCACGUAGGCGGAUUGUUAAGUGAGGGGUGAAAUCCCAGGGCUCAACCCUGGAACUGCCUUUCAUACUGGCAAUCUAGAGUCCAGAAGAGGUGAGUGGAAUUCCGAGUGUAGAGGUGAAAUUCGUAGAUAUUCGGAGGAACACCAGUGGCGAAGGCGGCUCACUGGUCUGGAACUGACGCUGA
rnacentral:rRNA from 1 species